rnacentral:rRNA from 1 species
CGCCUGGCCGGCAGCUACCAUGCAGUCGCACGAGAACGCUUCAGCUUGCUGAGGCAAGUAAAGUGGCGCACGGGUGAGUAACGCGUGGGUAAUCUACCUCCGAAUUGGGGAUAACAUUGCGAAAGCGGUGCUAAUACCGAAUGACAUCCCCGAGACCCCGGUCUUGGUGAUCAAAGGUGGCCUCUACAUGUAAGCUACUGUUUGGAGAUGAGCCCGCGUACCAUUAGCUUGUUGGUAGGGUAACGGCCUACCAAGGCUGCGAUGGUUAGCUGGUCUGAGAGGAUGAUCAGCCACACUGGAACUGACACACGGUCCAGACUCCUACGGGAGGCAGCAGUGAGGAAUUUUGCGCAAUGGGGGAAACCCUGACGCAGCAACGCCGCGUGAGUGAUGAAGGCCUUCGGGUCGUAAAGCUCUGUCAAGUGGGAAGAACCUGCUCGGUGAUAAUACCAUCGGGCACCGACGGUACCACUGAAGGAAGCACCGGCUAACUCCGUGCCAGCAGCCGCGGUAAUACGGGGGGUGCAAGCGUUAUUCGGAAUCAUUGGGCGUAAAGGGCGCGUAGGCGGUCUUUUAAGUCAGAUGUGAAAGCCCUCGGCUUAACCGAGGAAGUGCACUUGAUACUAAAAGACUUGAGUAUGGGAGAGGGAAGCGGAAUUCCUGGUGUAGCGGUGAAAUGCGUAGAUAUCAGGAGGAACACCGGUGGCGAAGGCGGCUUCCUGGACCAAUACUGACGCUGAGGCGCGAAGGCGUGGGGAGCAAACAGGAUUAGAUACCCUGGUAGUCCACGCAGUAAACUGUGAACACUAGGUGUAGCGGGUAUUGACCCCCCGCUGUGCCGAAGCUAACGCAUUAAGUGUUCCGCCUGGGAAGUACGGCCGCAAGGUUAAAACUCAAAGGAAUUGACGG